rnacentral:rRNA from 1 species
UACGGGGGGGGCAAGCGUUGUUCGGGAUUACUGGGCGUAAAGGGCUCGUAGGCGGCCAACUAAGUCAGACGUGAAAUCCCUCGGCUUAACCGGGGAACUGCGUCUGAUACUGGAUGGCUUGAGUUUGGGAGAGGGAUGCGGAAUUCCAGGUGUAGCGGUGAAAUGCGUAGAUAUCUGGAGGAACACCGGUGGCGAAGGCAAUCCCCUGGGCCUGCACUGACGCUCAUGCACGAAAGCGUGGGGAGCAAACAGG